UACAGAGGUCCCAAGCGUUGUUCGGAUUCACUGGGCGUAAAGGGUGCGUAGGUGGUGAGGUAAGUCGGAUGUGAAAUCUCCGAGCUCAACUCGGAAACUGCAUUGGAAACUACCUUGCUAGAGGGUUGGAGGGGGGACUGGAAUACUUGGUGUAGCAGUGAAAUGCGUAGAUAUCAAGUGGAACACCAGUGGCGAAGGCGAGUCCCUGGACAACACCUGACACUGAGGCACGAAAGCUAGGGGAGCAAACAGG
rnacentral:rRNA from 1 species